UGGAAGGCGAGGAUUCCCGCCGGCCCCCAGCCUCCUCUGCAGGCCUCCGAAGCUGGAGAGUUGGGUGGAAUAGGGAGGAAAUCGGGCUUCGGAUGCCCCCCAGCCUCGGGCGCUCUGCAGGCUAGCUCACGGAGUUGAAACAACCACAAAAAUGAUACAAAUUACGCGCAAGCACUGAAUGCUCAGUGUGGGCGGGUCACCGUGCCGGGGCGUCCACGCGCGUCGCCUCCUCUUAGUCUCCAGGGUCUCACUCCUGUCGCCUAAGGCUAGAGUGUAGUGCCGCGAUCUCGGCGCACCUGCGGCCUCGACUUCUCAGGCUCAAGCGAUCCUCCCACCUCAGCCUCCUGAAUAGCUGGGACUACAGGCGCAUUCCACCACGCCCGGCUAUUUUUUUUGUAUUUUUAGUAGAGACGGGGCUUCGUCCUGUUGUCGAGGUCCUCAGUCACGGCCUGACCCCUUUUAAGAGAGGGACCUCAAGAGGGGAGCUGAAUUCCUUGAGCCCUCGCCUUUCAAUCAAGUUUUCAAGGCACGCUUUGGCCGGGCCCUCCCGGACUGGCUGUGCUGCUACCUCCAGAGGAAAUCAACGUCUGUACCGAACUCCUAACCUGUGAAGACCUGCUGUCCUCAUAAUUGCGGAGUGGGGCCAAGGAAGGCUACUCUUUCCCCUUUGCAGAUGAGGCAACUGAGGCAACUGAGCCGCAGAAAACUAACUGACCAAGAUCACCCAGCCAGUGGAACAAACAGCUCGAGCCCAGGCUCUCUGGCUCCUAUUCCCUCUGAAUAUUUAAUUUACUAAACUGUUUGAGCAGCCGUAGAUUCCCUUCACAAUCCGGUAAAAUCUAUAAUUACUCCUCCCCUUCCCCAAAAUGUACUUAUUUUCCCAUUCAAUAUCGGAGCUUCUCGGACUUCCUGAAGUUAGUCCCAGGAUAAAGAUCCUCUUUCUCCUCCCCCUUGCCCCGCCCCACGACCUCGCUUCCCAGUAAUUGCUGGGAUCCCGAUUCUCUGGAGGCAUUCCGGGCGGAUUGAUUGAGUGUAAUUCAACUGAGUUAUGAUUACAGCUGCUGGUUCCCCUGUGCCGCAGACGGGUGUGUAGGGAGGGUGGGGCACGUGGAGAUGGGCAAGAUGUCUGGAGAGAGCAGUGGGGCUGUUGUGCACGUUUUUGCUAGAGGUGAGGGUUGAGAGCUAGGGAGGAAACAAUUCCGAGCCCACCCCGCUGGGACCCACGGGCUGAGGUCCUCCAGGAAGCACUGGGGCUCAGCUUUCCCUAUGUCAGUACGGAUGGAGGACACACAGGAGGAAGGCUGGUGGCUCUGCCGGAACAUUCUGAGGGCCUUGUUCUCUGCCUACGCUGGGACCUGCAGUCCCAUCUCCCAUUUGGCCUCAGCCAGCGUGGUUUAUUGUACCCAAAUCCCGCUUGUUUCCUCCUUAUGCAGCAGUUUUAAAAUUUCGAACUAGUUCAAGAGCUGCUCGGCUGCUCGUUUACUUUCAGUUUUGGGAACAGAGGCUUACACCCCUUUCUCCUCCUGUUUCUCCUCCAGUCCCUCUUCCCCUCAAUCUAGUUUCCCAAAGUUAGCAAACCUACUUUCUUGAUUUUGUUUCUUAACAUUUAAAACAACUGGUGAAGGGCUAAUGAUUUCAUCUCCUUACCACCACCCCUAACCUUAAAAGCAAUAAAUAAAAUAAAAGCCCAGCCUGCCAACCGCAUGCACACACGGCCAGCGGUGGUGGGGGUUUGUAGUUUGCAUACACGUCGCGGGGCAGAAGCCUGUUUGCAAAGGCUGAAAUGUAGCUAGCAGGGGAAGACGCUGAAAAAACAGAGUGAUUUGAUAAAAACGUGCUGGGCCCUGUUACAGGAGGGCUGCUGGGAGUAGUCCCAGGUACUCACAUCAGAAGGGGUGCAGGGGAAUAAAAUUUAAAAAAGCAAACCCAUGGCGAGUCUUUCUUGCUGGGAGUGAGGGGCUCUGCAAAAUUUCUGGGACUUCAGAACAGAGGUCGACAAGGUCCAUUGCUCUUCCC
rnacentral:lncRNA from 1 species